CCAGCCGUUGCCUUCACUUCAAAAAUACCCUCUUCAAUAGUGAGAAGAGAAACAUCAAAAGUACCACCUCCAAGAUCGGAAAUCAACACAUUCUUCUCAGAGCUGAAAAUUGCUUCUCCUCACCUUUGUAUGUGACGACAAUCAUAGGUUUGUCACCAGGUGCUGCAACAACCUUGAAUGGCCAGUGCUUCAUGCCACUCUGAACCGACGGAUCACUGGACCUUCUACCAAUCUGCCACUUCUGAAAGGACUAUUUGCGACUCAGUAGUCAAACUUAAGAUUGGCUUCUGGUAUGUACUUGUAUCCCCUUGUCCAGAACAAGAAUCCCUUUCACAGAUUUCUACUAACCCUGGCAUCUGUGAUGAGAUUUCGUGUAGGUUUGCUUACGUUGUUCAAUGUCCAGCCUUAUGCCGCUCAUCUAUCCAAUAUUUUUUCUACUGUACUUAGCUCCAACAUUUUUCGACUUCAAUGAAUUAUAAUAAAUUCUAUUUGAUUUACCAUGGGUAAUCUUG
rnacentral:lncRNA from 1 species